rnacentral:rRNA from 1 species
UACGGGGGGGGCAAGCGUUGUUCGGAAUUACUGGGCGUAAAGGGCUCGUAGGCGGCCAACUAAGUCAGACGUGAAAUCCCUCAGCUUAACUGGGGAACUGCGUCUGAUACUGGAUGGCUUGGAUUCGGGAGAGGAAUGCGGAAUUCCAGGUGUAGCGGUGAAAUGCGUAGAUAUCGCUUGGAACGCCGAAGGUGAAAACAGGUUGCUGGGGAUGUGCCGACGCUGAGACACGAAAGCCAGGGGAGCAAACGGG